CCAGGAGGGCACACGAGGAGUGUGGCGAGGAAACCGUUACCAUUACUGUGCUUAGUAAUGGUAAGGGUUCUCUUGCUGCGCUCAGUGACCGUGCCGCCAGCU
rnacentral:pre_miRNA from 12 species